AGGACGAACGCUGGCGGCGUGCUUAACACAUGCAAGUCGAGCGGAAAGGCCCUUCGGGGUACUCGAGCGGCGAACGGGUGAGUAACACGUGAGCAACCUGCCCUUAGCUCUGGGGUAGCUCCGGGAAACCGGAAUUAAUACCGGAUACGACCUAGGCCGACAUCGGCCAUGGUGGAAAGUUUUUCGGCUAGGGAUGGACUCGCGGCCUAUCAGCUAGUUGGUGGGGUAAAGGCCUACCAAGGCGACGACGGGUAG
rnacentral:rRNA from 1 species